ensembl:lncRNA
CCCAUAUUUCAAACCCUAACAGCAGUCACUAGAAAUUUAUUAAUAAACUAAUGGAACUUUCUUUGUAUGCUAGAUUUAUGGUUCUCUGUCCUAAUUUCUGCCAGGUUCCUCUUCCCUGCUCUCCUCUGAGUGUUUCAGGCUUAAGUUUAUCUUGAGCAAAAUAUGCCAAUAGCCAGAAGCAGAAAUAAAAUCACAACAUAUUUUCUAACACUUUAACCUACACAGCUAACAUCAACUCAGAGUACCACUGUCUCCAUGGUGUUUCUAACAUCCUCCUUUUUGCUGGUAGGUCUCAAAAACCCUUAUUUUACAAAUAAACAGUUCUGAAUAUUUUAUGUUAUUUGAGUAAGUCAGCCUCUAUAAACACAAUAAAAAGAGACAAGCUACUGUACUCUGCCCAGGGAUGUUGUUAAUAACUCUCAAAAACGUCAGGGUUAUUUCUGAAUGCCAACAGACCAAUGCUUCUCCCUCAUAGAAAACUGAGGAAACACCAUUAUACAGCUGAGAAAACAGUUACUCUUCAUUCUUCUUUUAUUUGCUGUUCAUUAGCUAUGUGUAGGCAUUCUGUUGCAUACAGACUUGUGAUCCAGCUCUAGCAUUUUACAGUUUUAAUGACACCUAGACCUGGUGAAACAUAGAUAACAGUGGUAACUUCCACUGACAUUAGAGAGGCUUGCUUUUUGUCUGCCACUUAUGCACUGAAACAUCAAAUUCUAAGUGGUUCCACCUCGUGUUUCAUCCAUAACAAAAUUACAACUUUUUUGCUGUUGUUGUUCAAAAGUCCUUCAUUUCUGCACGUCUUGCAUUUUUCUACUGCACAUCUUGCAUUCUUCUACUGGUUUAAGCUCAGUUUUCAGCUCUGUAAGAUUUUCACACCACAUCUGGAAACAUGUUUUCAGAUGUUUACAGUCACAUUUGCAACACAGUUCAUGACUGUGCUUAACGUGGCCAUUUUAUUUUGCUGUCUCAGUAAAAGCUAUAUUAUUGUGAAACCAGAUUCUUUGUGGGAAUAUGAAGGCAGGCAGUAUGAAAUGACAGUAUUUCAAAGACUAUAAUAAAAUUUAGGGAAGAGGAUCACAAGACAAAACUCACAAGCCCAAGAAUGACAUAUGAAGCAUUUGCACAGGACCAACCACUUUUUUUAAAUCUCGCUUUCCUCCAGAUUCUGCUGAGUAAUGGCAUAUUUGUUCUUCUUAUAUAUACAUGGAUCUGAAUCUUGAGAGGAUCUGAGCAUUUACAAGCCUCUUUUUGCUUAAAGGAAGUAGAAAAAAAAUGAACAACUUCAAUGCCUAGAUCUAUGCUUUUUCUACUGUCUUCAGUUAUGUAUGAUCUGAGCUUACAAGCCUUGCAAGUGUGGACUAUUUUUGCAGCUGAAAAAGCAAAGUUUGCCUUUGAUUACAUUUAGAAAAAAUGUUUAACUCUGUCAAGGAAUUGUUGAAAGGUUGGCGUGGUUCAGUGAUUAAAAAAAUGUGACUAUUAGUGUAGAGCCUAAAAGCAGACAUUCAAACAGCUCUUUCUCCUCUGUUUUGAUGUUUUUUAUGCUAAUUUACUACAGAAGAAUAAGCUCCAUAGCUCCACCCAGUGGAGCUACUCAAAUCUCUAUGUACGCCAUGAGAUACAUAGAGAUGUUUCUAGAUGUAGAUGAAGAUAACCAACUCUCUAGAACUUUUCUAACGUAUUUUUCUUUCACAGAAUCAUAGAAUCACAGAACUGCUUGAGUUGGAAGGGACUUUAAAGAUCAUCUGGUUUCAAACCCUCUGCCGUGGGAAAAGGUUGCCACCCACUGUAUCCUGCUUACCAGAGCCCCAUCCGACCUGGCCUUCAGCACCUCUAAGACUAUAACUGACAGUAUCCACACCUUUUAUAUACCUAUCCAGUUCAGUAUAGACAGAAAGAAUCUCCCAAGAGGAAGAGAGAUGGGAUCUGGAAUAACUGUUAACCGAAGGGCAGUGAGGUUGUUAAGAUACAAGCUGAUAAUAAACCAAGCUCUUGAAAAAAGACUGUAAUUUGUUUGCUUAGUGUUUUAUGGCUGUUCACUUAAAAUGCUGUGUAUGUUUCUGGGCAGCCUUGUCAAGAAAAUUCCAAAGUUCAGAUGAUGCUGUACUAGCAAAAUUUUUAGAAAGAAUUAGCUCAACCAGAAUAAAUACCUAAUCAGAACAGAGUGUGGUUGCUACAGCUCCCUUUACUUACCA